UACGUAGGUGGCAAGCGUUAUCCGGAAUUAUUGGGCGUAAAGCGCGCGUAGGCGGUUUUUUAAGUCUGAUGUGAAAGCCCACGGCUCAACCGUGGAUGGUCAUUGGAAACUGGAAAACUUGAGUGCAGAAGAGGAAAGUGGAAUUCCAUGUGUAGCGGUGAAAUGCGCAGAGAUAUGGAGGAACACCAGUGGCGAAGGCGACUUUCUGGUCUGUAACUGACGCUGAUGUGCGAAAGCGUGGGGAUCAAACAGG
rnacentral:rRNA from 1 species